GGUGGCUCAGUAGUAGAGCGCUUGCCUCACAUGCAAGAGGCCCUGGGUUCAAUUCCUCAGCACCA
rnacentral:tRNA from 1 species